AGCCAUAUCAUGUUAAUACACUGGUUCUUGUACGAUCACUAAAGUUAAGCAAUGUAGAGCCUGAUUAGUACUUAGAUGGGUGACCACUUGGGAAUACCAAGCACUGUAAG